rnacentral:rRNA from 1 species
AAUGAUGAUUUAAAUAGCCGCAGUAUUUUGACUGUGCAAAGGUAGCAUAAUAAAUUGUCUUUUAAUUGAAGGCUGGAAUGAAUGAUAGGAUGUGAUGGGAACUGUCUUUAUGAUAAUUGAUUGAAAUUUACUUUUUGAUGAGAAGGUUAAGAUUGGGUUGGUAGACGAGAAGACCCUAUCAAGCUUUAUUUUGACAUUGGUUUUACUUUUUUAAUAGGUGGGUGGAUUAAUGUUAUAAUUUUGUUGGGGCAAUGUUUGAAUAUUUUGUAAUUUUUUAUUUUGUAUUAGAGUUUGAUCCAUUAUUAGUGAUUAAAGGAGUAAGUUACUGUAGGGAUAACAGCGUAAUUAACUUGGAGAGUUCAUAUCGGUAAGUUGGAUUGCGACCUCGAUGUUGGUUUAAUGAUUCUUUAAGGUGUAGCAGCUUUAUGAGAG